GACGAACGCUGGCGGCGUGCCUAAUACAUGCAAGUAGAACGCUGAAGGAGGAGCCUGCUUCUCCGGAUGAGUUGCGAACGGGUGAGUAACGCGUAGGUAACCUGCCUGGUAGCGGGGGAUAACUAUUGGAAACGAUAGCUAAUACCGCAUAACAGUAGAUGUUGCAUGACAUUUGCUUAAAAGGUGCAAUUGCAUCACUACCAGAUGGACCUGCGUUGUAUUAGCUAGUUGGUGAGGUAACGGCUCACCAAGGCGACGAUACAUAGCCGACCUGAGAGGGUGAUCGGCCACACUGGGACUGAGACACGGCCCAGACUCCUACGGGAGGCAGCAGUAGGGAACCUUCGGCAAUGGACGGAAGUCUGACCGAGCAACGCCGCGUGAGUGAAGAAGGUUUUCGGAUCGUAAAGCUCUGUUGUAAGAGAAGAACGAGUGUGAGAGUGGAAAGUUCACACUGUGACGGUAUCUUACCAGAAAGGGACGGCUAACUACGUG
rnacentral:rRNA from 1 species